AGUGAACGCUGGCGGUAGGCCUAACACAUGCAAGUCGAACGGCAGCACAGUAAGAGCUUGCUCUUACGGGUGGCGAGUGGCGGACGGGUGAGGAAUACAUCGGAAUCUACUUUUUCGUGGGGGAUAACGUAGGGAAACUUACGCUAAUACCGCAUACGACCUACGGGUGAAAGCAGGGGAUCUUCGGACCUUGCGCGAUUGAAUGAGCCGAUGUCGGAUUAGCUAGUUGGCGGGGUAAAGGCCCACCAAGGCGACGAUCCGUAGCUGGUCUGAGAGGAUGAUCAGCCACACUGGAACUGAGACACGGUCCAGACUCCUACGGGAGGCAGCAGUGGGGAAUAGUGGACAAUGGGCGCAAGCCUGGUCCAGCCAUACCGCGUGGGUGAAGAAGGCCUUCGGGUUGUAAAGCCCUUUUGUUGGGAAAGAAAAGCAGCAGGCUAAUACCCCGCUGUUCUGACGGUACCCAAAGAAUAAGCACCGGCUAACUUCGCG
rnacentral:rRNA from 1 species